AUUUGUAUAACUUAUAUAGAGUAUAUCAGUGAAGUUGAUAAUGAAACAAUUUUUGUUUACAAAUA
rnacentral:tRNA from 1 species